AACGCAUAUUGCACUUUCUGGUAUUCCGGAAAGUAUUCCUGUUUGAGGGUCAGUUAAAUAAAAAUCGGUGUUGUUGCUGCCUUUCGUGGUGACGCGUCGGAAUUGAGUCGUCUUACCUUCGGUUAAGUGACUUAAAAUUUUGUAUGAUUUUUGAACGUAUUUAAAUUUAUUUGUACGUUUGAGAUAUCGAAUGUUUAUUAGGUUCGGUCAUUCUAAUGACUCGCGCCUAUAGUUUUUCAUUAAAUGACCUCAAAUCAGGUAAGAAUACCCGCUGAACUUAA
rnacentral:misc_RNA from 1 species